GGGUUGUGAGGUUAAGCGACUAAGCGUACACGGUGGAUGCCCUGGCAGUCAGAGGCGAUGAAGGACGUGCUAAUCUGCGAAAAGCGUCGGUAAGGUGAUAUGAACCGUUAUAACCGGCGAUGUCCGAAUGGGGAAACCCAGUGCAAUUCGUUGCACUAUCGUUAACUGAAUACAUAGGUUAACGAGGCGAACCGGGGGAACUGAAACAUCUAAGUACCCCGAGGAAAAGAAAUCAACCGAGAUUCCCCAGUAGCGGCGAGCGAACGGGAGCAGCCCAGAGUCUGAAUCAGCUUGUGUGUUAGUGGAACGGUCUGGAAAGUCCGACGGUACAGGGUGAUAGUCCCGUACACCAAAAUGCACAGGCUGUGAACUCGAAGAGUAGGGCGGGACACGUGGUAUCCUGUCUGAAUAUGGGGGACCAUCCUCCAAGGCUAAAUACUCCUGACUGACCGAUAGUGAACCAGUACCGUGAGGGAAAGGCGAAAAGAACCCCGGCGAGGGGAGUGAAAAAGAACCUGAAACCGUGUACGUACAAGCAGUGGGAGCACCUUCGGGUGUGACUGCGUACCUUUUGUAUAAUGGGUCAGCGACUUAUAUUCUGUAGCAAGGUUAACCGUAUAGGGGAGCCGCAGGGAAACCGAGUCUUAACUGGGCGUUAAGUUGCAGGGUAUAGACCCGAAACCCGGUGAUCUAGCCAUGGGCAGGUUGAAGGUUGGGUAACACUAACUGGAGGACCGAACCGACUAAUGUUGAAAAAUUAGCGGAUGACUUGUGGCUGGGGGUGAAAGGCCAAUCAAACCGGGAGAUAGCUGGUUCUCCCCGAAAGCUAUUUAGGUAGCGCCUCGUGAAUUCAUCUUCGGGGGUAGAGCACUGUUUCGGCUAGGGGGUCAUCCCGACUUACCAACCCGAUGCAAACUACGAAUACCGAAGAAUGUUAUCACGGGAGACACACGGCGGGUGCUAACGUCCGUCGUGAAGAGGGAAACAACCCAGACCGCCAGCUAAGGUCCCAAAGUCAUGGUUAAGUGGGAAACGAUGUGGGAAGGCACAGACAGCCAGGAUGUUGGCUUAGAAGCAGCCAUCAUUUAAAGAAAGCGUAAUAGCUCACUGGUCGAGUCGGCCUGCGCGGAAGAUGUAACGGGGCUAAACCAUGCACCGAAGCUGCGGCAGCGACACUAUGUGUUGUUGGGUAGGGGAGCGUUCUGUAAGCCUGCGAAGGUGUGCUGUGAGGCAUGCUGGAGGUAUCAGAAGUGCGAAUGCUGACAUAAGUAACGAUAAAGCGGGUGAAAAGCCCGCUCGCCGGAAGACCAAGGGUUCCUGUCCAACGUUAAUCGGGGCAGGGUGAGUCGACCCCUAAGGCGAGGCCGAAAGGCGUAGUCGAUGGGAAACAGGUUAAUAUUCCUGUACUUGGUGUUACUGCGAAGGGGGACGGAGAAGGCUAUGUUAGCCGGGCGACGGUUGUCCCGGUUUAAGCAUGUAGGCUGGUUGUCCAGGCAAAUCCGGAUAAUCAAGGCUGAGGUGUGAUGACGAGGCACUACGGUGCUGAAGUAACAAAUGCCCUGCUUCCAGGAAAAGCCUCUAAGCAUCAGGUAACAUCAAAUCGUACCCCAAACCGACACAGGUGGUCAGGUAGAGAAUACCAAGGCGCUUGAGAGAACUCGGGUGAAGGAACUAGGCAAAAUGGUGCCGUAACUUCGGGAGAAGGCACGCUGGUGUGUAGGUGAAGUCCCUGCGGAUGGAGCUGAGACCAGUCGAAGAUACCAGCUGGCUGCAACUGUUUAUUAAAAACACAGCACUGUGCAAACACGAAAGUGGACGUAUACGGUGUGACGCCUGCCCGGUGCCGGAAGGUUAAUUGAUGGGGUUAUCCGUAAGGAGAAGCUCUUGAUCGAAGCCCCGGUAAACGGCGGCCGUAACUAUAACGGUCCUAAGGUAGCGAAAUUCCUUGUCGGGUAAGUUCCGACCUGCACGAAUGGCGUAAUGAUGGCCAGGCUGUCUCCACCCGAGACUCAGUGAAAUUGAACUCGCUGUGAAGAUGCAGUGUACCCGCGGCAAGACGGAAAGACCCCGUGAACCUUUACUAUAGCUUGACACUGAACAUUGAGCCUUGAUGUGUAGGAUAGGUGGGAGGCUUUGAAGCGUGGACGCCAGUCUGCGUGGAGCCAACCUUGAAAUACCACCCUUUAAUGUUUGAUGUUCUAACGUUGGCCCCUGACCGGGGUUGCGGACAGUGUCUGGUGGGUAGUUUGACUGGGGCGGUCUCCUCCCAAAGCGUAACGGAGGAGCACGAAGGUUAGCUAAUCCUGGUCGGACAUCAGGAGGUUAGUGCAAUGGCAUAAGCUAGCUUGACUGCGAGCGUGACGGCGCGAGCAGGUGCGAAAGCAGGUCAUAGUGAUCCGGUGGUUCUGAAUGGAAGGGCCAUCGCUCAACGGAUAAAAGGUACUCCGGGGAUAACAGGCUGAUACCGCCCAAGAGUUCAUAUCGACGGCGGUGUUUGGCACCUCGAUGUCGGCUCAUCACAUCCUGGGGCUGAAGUAGGUCCCAAGGGUAUGGCUGUUCGCCAUUUAAAGUGGUACGCGAGCUGGGUUUAGAACGUCGUGAGACAGUUCGGUCCCUAUCUGCCGUGGGCGCUGGAGAAUUGAGGGGGGCUGCUCCUAGUACGAGAGGACCGGAGUGGACGCAUCACUGGUGUUCGGGUUGUCAUGCCAAUGGCACUGCCCGGUAGCUAAAUGCGGAAGAGAUAAGUGCUGAAAGCAUCUAAGCACGAAACUUGCCCCGAGAUGAGUUCUCCCUGAGACUUUAAGUCUCCUGAAGGAACGUUGAAGACGACGACGUUGAUAGGCCGGGUGUGUAAGCGCAGCGAUGCGUUGAGCUAACCGGUACUAAUGAACCGUGAGGCUUAACCUUACAACGCCGAAG
rnacentral:rRNA from 1 species